rnacentral:tRNA from 1 species
GCUCGAAUGGUGAAACUGGUAGACACAAGGGACUUAAAAUCCCUCGGCUUCUGCUGUGCGAGUUCAAGCCUCGCUUCGAGUA